AUUGAACGCUGGCGGCAUGCCUUACACAUGCAAGUCGAACGGCAGCACGGGAGCAAUCCUGGUGGCGAGUGGCGAACGGGUGAGUAAUAUAUCGGAACGUGCCCAGUAGUGGGGGAUAACUGCCCGAAAGAGCAGCUAAUACCGCAUACGACCUGAGGGAGCACGGGGGGGAUCGCAAGACCUCUCGCUAUUUGAGCGGCCGAUAUCAGGUUAGCUAGUUGGUGGGGUAAAGGCUUACCAAGGGUACGAUGUGUAGUUGGUCUGAGUGGACGACCAGCGACACUGGAACUGAGUCACGGACCAGUCUGCUACGGGAGGCAGCAGUUGGGAAUUUUGGACAAUGGGGGGAAGACUGAUCCAGGAAUGCCGCGUGCAGGAAGAAGGCCUUCGGGUUGUAAACUGCUUUUGUCAGGGAAGAAAUCCUCUAGGUUAAUACCCUUGGGGGGAUGACGGUACCUGAAGAAUAAGCACCGGCUAACUACGCGCCAGCCGCCGCGGUAAGAC
rnacentral:rRNA from 1 species